rnacentral:rRNA from 1 species
ACGAACGCUGGCGGCGUGCUUAACCCAUGCAAGUCGAACGGAAAGGCCCUGCUUUUGUGGGGUGCUCGCGUGGCGAACGGGUGAGUAACGCGUGAGUAACCUGCCCUUGACUUUGGGAUAACUUCAGGAAACUGGGGCUAAUACCGGAUAGGAGCUCCUGCUGCAUGGUGGGGGUUGGAAAGUUUCGGCGGUUGGGGAUGGACUCGCGGCUUAUCAGCUUGUUGGUGGGGUAGUGGCUUACCAAGGCUUUGACGGGUAGCCAGCCUGAGAGGGUGACCGGCCACAUUGGGACUGAGAUACGGCCCAGACUCCUACGGGAGGCAGCAGUGGGGAAUAUUGCACAAUGGGCGGAAGCCUGAUGCAGCAACGCCGCGUGCGGGAUGACGGCCUUCGGGUUGUAAACCGCUUUCGCCUGUGACGAAGCGUGAGUGACGGUAAUGGGUAAAGAAGCACCGGCUAACUACGUG